CCUACGGGAGGCAGCAGUGAGGAAUAUUGGUCAAUGGGCUUACGCCUGAACCAGCCAAGUCGCGUGAGGGAAGACUGCCCUAUGGGUUGUAAACCUCUUUUGUCAGGGAGUAAUCGGCGCCACGUGUAGCGUUAUCGAGAGUACCCGAAGAAAAGGCAUCGGCUAACGCCGUGCCAGCAGCCGCGGUAAUACGGAGGAUGCGAGGGUUAUCCGGUUUUAUUGGGUUUAAAGGGUGCGUAGGCGGAAUGCCAAGUCAGCGGUAAAAUCGCGGGGCUAACCCUCGCUCCGCAGUGGAAACUGGCGUUCUUGAGUGGGCGAGAGGUAUGCGGAAUGCGUGGUGUAGCGGUGAAAUGCAUAGAUAUCACGCAGAACUCCGAUUGCGAAGGCAGCAUACCGGCGCCCAACUGACGCUGAGGCACGAAGGCGUGGGUAUCGAACAGGAUUAGAUACCCGAGUAGUC
rnacentral:rRNA from 1 species